UACAGAGGAUGCAAGCGUUAUCCGGAAUGAUUGGGCGUAAAGCGUCUGUAGGUGGCUUUUUAAGUCCGCCGUCAAAUCCCAGGGCUCAACUCUGGACAGGCGGUGGAAACUACCAAGCUGGAGUACGGUAGGGGCAGAGGGAAUUUCCGGUGGAGCGGUGAAAUGCGUAGAGAUGUGGAGGAACACCGAUGGCGAAGGCAGCCUUCUGGGCCAACACUGACGCUCAUGCACGAAAGCGUGGGGAGCAAACAGG
rnacentral:rRNA from 1 species